rfam:Herbinix sp. SD1D isolate SD1D genome assembly, chromosome: I
GCUGUUGUAGCUCAGAUGGUAGAGCACCUCAUUGGUAAUGAGGAGGUCAGCGGUUCAAGUCCGCCCAACAGCU